rnacentral:rRNA from 1 species
UACGUAGGGUGCAAGCGUUGUCCGGAAUUAUUGGGCGUAAAGGGCUCGUAGGCGGUCCAUCACGUCGGGAGUGAAAAGCUGGGGCUUAACCCCAGUCCUGCUUCCGAUACGGGUGGACUAGAGGUAGGCAGGGGAGAACGGAAUUCCUGGUGUAGCGGUGAAAUGCGUAGAUAUCUGGAGGAACACCGGUGGCGAAGGCGGCAUCCUGGACCAACACUGACACUGAGGAGCGAAAGCCGGGGGAGCAAACGGG